CAGCGAAAUGCGAUAAGUAAUGUGAAUUGCAGAAUUCAGUGAAUCAUCGAAUCUUUGAACGCACCUUGCACCCUUUGGAAUUCCGAAGGGUAUGCUCGUUUGAGUGUCAUUGUACUCUCACACUCUUCAAUCAGUUGGAUUUGGGGAGUGGUGGACUUGGGUGUUGCCGCUUUACUGUGGCUCACCUUAAAUGCUUUAGUGCAACUCUUAGUUAGACAUAGUACGGCGUGAUAAGUAUCUUCGCCGGCACCUUGCAUGAGGGUGGCUAAUUGAGAGCGCUGUGCUUCAAACUGUCUUCGGACAAUCUCUGACAACUUGGCCUCAAAUCGAGUAGGACUACCCGCUGAACUUAAGCAUAUCAAUAAGCGGAGGAAAAGAAACUAACAAGGAUUCCCCUAGUAACGGCGAGUGAAGAGGGAAGAGCUCAAAUUUUGAAUCUGGCGUCUUUGGCGUCCGAAUUGUAAUCUAGAGAAGUGUUUUCCGUGGCGGACCGUGCACAAGUCUCCUGGAAUGGAGCGUCAUGGAGGGUGAGAAUCCCGUAUAUGGCACGGACUCCCGUUGCUCUUUGAUACACUCUCGACGAGUCGAGUUGUUUGGGAAUGCAGCUCCAAAUGGGUGGUAAAUGCCAUCUAAAGCUAAAUAUUGGCGAGAGACCGAUAGCGAACAAGUACCGUGAGGGAAAGAUGAAAAGCACUU
rnacentral:rRNA from 1 species